rnacentral:ncRNA from 2 species
GUACAUAUGGAUGGUAUAGGUGCCCGUUAGGGCUUAAUAGGGAAGUUCGGUUACAUGCCGACGCGGUCCCGCCACUGUAAUGAGGAGCUUCCCCUAGUUUUACCACUGAGAUAAAAUCUUGGGAAGGUUUGAGGAAGCGAUGAUUCUAAGUCAGGAGAACUGCCUAUAUAACAAUCACCAA